rnacentral:lncRNA from 1 species
CACAAGCUGCACCGAGGAAAAUUAGCAAGGAUGAACUCGGCAAUGUCGCUGGAAUGGCAGCAAAUGCAACAGCUAGUGGCGGAAAAUUUGACAAGAAGUUGCCUGGGGAAAAACCCCCAAAACAUGAUAAGAAGUACCGUAAGGUUUGUAUUAUGGAAAGUGCAUGCAUAAAUUUGCUUAGGACUAACCUGAUUGUAUUGUCUAAGUCAACUCUACUCUUGUGUAUAACCAGUUCCUACCAGUUGCAGAAGGAUCAGGAAUGGGCUCCUUAGAGAAACAGAAGUCACCUAUACCACAGGCUGUAAACAUGUACAAUGUGAAAAAGGACAAGAACCG